UACGGAGGGUGCAAGCGUUAUCCGGAUUCACUGGGUUUAAAGGGUGCGUAGGCGGACAGGUAAGUCAGUGGUGAAAUCUCUGGGCUUAACCCAGAAACUGCCGUUGAUACUAUUUGUCUUGAAUAUCCUGGAGGUAGGCGGAAUAUGUCAUGUAGCGGUGAAAUGCUUAGAUAUGACAUAGAACACCGAUAGCGAAAGGCAGCUUACUACAGGAUGAUUGACGCUGAGGCACGAAAGCGUGGGGAGCAAACAGG
rnacentral:rRNA from 1 species